CCUACGGGUGGCAGCAGUGGGGGAUAUUGCACAAUGGGGGAAACCCUGAUGCAGCGACGCCGCGUGUAGGAAGACGGUCCUCUGGAUUGUAAACUACUGUCCCCAGGGACGAAGAUGACGGUACCUGGGGAGGAAGCGCCGGCUACCUACGUGCCAGCAGCCGCGGUAAUAAGGAGGGAGCGAGCGUGGUCCGGAAUUACUGGGUGUAAAGGGAGCGUAGGCGGGGAUGCAAGUUGGGUGUUAAAUCUACCGGCUCAACUGGUAGUCGCACUCAAAACUGCAGCUCUUGAGUGAAGUAGAGGCAGGCGGAAUUCCUAGUGUAGCGGUGAAAUGCGUCGAUAUUAGGAGGAACACCAGUGGCGACGGCGGCCUGCUGGGCUUUUACUGACGCUGAGGCUCGAAAGUGUGGGGAGCAAACAGGAUUAGAUACCCUUGUAGUC
rnacentral:rRNA from 1 species